CUACAACAAAAGCUUCUUUUAAUAGCGUCUGUUUAUAGCGUUUUUGCAAGAAUGCUAUGAAAAAUGAUGGCGUGUGUAGCUUUUUCCAAUUAAAAGCGGAAAAAGAAAUGGGGCGUGCCAGCUGUACAAUUCAGACAGCGUUCUCACCCAAUUUUAUAGCGUUCAAAAAUUGUGAUCCGAAAAAAAUCAAAAAGCGCUAAAAAUUUGGAUCUCGCGCCCAAAGCAUACAAUCUCCUUAUUCCUUUCGAUUCCCUUCGUUUCGAACUUCCUGUGAGAUCGACUUCCCUCAUACUCCUAUCGUCCUUCAGUCUCUAUUAGGCUCAAUUCUCUCUUUUAUUCUGUUCACUUUCUGCAAAUUAGGGUUCGGAGUAGUCGAUUCUAAGUCUCUAUUGUGCGCCCUGUAUCUACUCAAACUCAUUUGAGUGUGUUUGAUGUCUCUUCUUUGGGGUUCGAGGCGUUCAAUUGGAGUGGUUGUUGAAGGGAGUUGUUCACUCCAGAUUUAUUCUCUUAUCCGCGAUUCAACGGCUUCUUGAUGGUUCUUCCGCUCGGGUUUAUGAAUCCAGACAAAGUGGACUAACUGGACGUUUUCGGCCAAGGUUAUACGUAACAGAGAACUGUACUUCCAACAGCAGGAGAGAGCCAUGGAUACAGAGUGAUCGGGUCAGUAUUUUAUAUUGCUUGACUAAAAUAUUUGGUUGCUUUGGAACAAAAUUGUAAGUGACAUAUUCUUCAAUUGUGUCCAGUGUUGAUUACAAGGUCUGAGUUUAGGUAAUUUGAUACUCUUUAAUGAAUGUUUACUUUAGGUCUUAUUAUGUGAAAUUGCUUUCGAUUUCUCAGUGCAUAUUUUUUGCUCCAAGGCGGAACUGGAAAAAAAAGGCUUGUUUGUGCCAGU